rnacentral:rRNA from 1 species
UACGGAGGGGGCUAGCGUUAUUCGGAAUUACUGGGCGUAAAGCGCACGUAGGCGGAUUGGAAAGUUGGAGGUGAAAUCCCAGGGCUCAACCUUGGAACUGCCUUCAAAACUUCCAGUCUUGAGGUCGAGAGAGGUGAGUGGAAUUCCGAGUGUAGAGGUGAAAUUCGUAGAUAUUCGGAGGAACACCAGUGGCGAAGGCGGCUCACUGGCUCGAUACUGACGCUGAGGUGCGAAAGCGUGGGGAGCAAACAGG